GAGGCUGUAGCUCAGUGGCAGAGUGCUUGCCUAGCAUGUGUGAGGCACUGGGUUCAAUCCCCAGCACCACA
rnacentral:tRNA from 1 species